GAUGAACGCUGGCGGCGUGCCUAAUACAUGCAAGUCGAGCGAACAGACGAGGAGCUUGCUCCUCUGACGUUAGCGGCGGACGUGUGAGUAACACGUGGAUAACCUACCUAUAAGACUGGGAUAACUUCGGGAAACCGGCGCUAAUACCGUAUAAUAUAUUGAACCGCAUUGUUCAAUAGUUAAAUACGGUUUUUCUGUCACUUAUAGAUGGAUCCGCGCCGCAUUAGCUAGUUGGUAAGGUAACGGCUUACCAAGGCAACGAUGCGUAGCCGAACUGAGAGGGUGAUAGGCCACACGGGAACGGAAACACGGACAAGACGCCUGAGAGAGGCAGCAGUAGGGAAUGUUACGCAAAGGGCGAAAGCAUGACGGAGCAAGGGGGCGUGAGAGAUGAAGGUGUUCGGAUCGUAAAAAUCUGUUAUGAGGGAAGAACAAAUGUGGAAGUAGAUAUGCACGGAGUGACGGUACCGAAUCAGAAAGCAACGGCUAACUACGUG
rnacentral:rRNA from 1 species